UUGGAGGGCAAGUCUGGUGCCAGCAGCCGCGGUAAUUCCAGCUCCAAUAGCGUAUAUUAAAGUUGCUGCAGUUAAAAAGCUCGUAGUUGAAUUUCGGGAUCAAUACGUUGGUCGUGCCUCGGUACGUACUAGCUUAUUGGUUUCUCCCUUCUGACGAACCAUGAUGUCAUUUAUUUGGUGUUAUGGGAAAUCAGGACUGUUACUUUGAAAAAAUUAGAGUGUUUAAAGCAGGCUCACGCUUGAAUACAUUAGCAUGGAAUAAUGAAAUAGGACGUUUGAUUCUAUUUUGUUGGUUUCUAGGAUCGACGUAAUGAUUAAUAGGGAUAGUUGGGGGCAUUAGUAUUCAAUUGUCAGAGGUGAAAUUCUUGGAUUUAUUGAAGACUAACUACUGCGAAAGCAUUUGCCAAGGAUGUUUUCAUUAAUCAAGAACGAAAGUUAGGGGAUCGAAGACGAUCAGAUACCGUCGUAGUCUUAACCAUAAACUAUGCCGACUAGGGAUCAGAUGAUGUUAAUUUUUUAAUGACUCAUUCGGCGCCUUACGGGAAAC
rnacentral:rRNA from 1 species